ACAACGAAGAUUAUUUGCACUAUACCAAUUGUUCCAACUGAAUUCUCCGGGUUGACAAAUGCAUUAUCGUUAAGUUUCAGCCUUGUAUGAGUUGU
rnacentral:snoRNA from 1 species